rnacentral:rRNA from 1 species
UACGUAGGGGGCUAGCGUUGUCCGGAAUCAUUGGGCGUAAAGCGCGUGUAGGCGGUCCGGUAAGUCCGCUGUGAAAGCCCCCGGCUCAACUGGGGAGGGUCACUCGAUACUGAUCGACUUGAAGGCAGGAGAGGGAAGCGGAAUUCCCGGUGUAGCGGUGAAAUGCGUAGAUAUCCGGAGGAACACCAGUGGCGAAGGCGGCUUCCUGGACCGACACUGACGCUGAGGCGCGAAAGCUAGGGGAGCAAACGGG